ACUGACGCUUCCCGCGAAUUUUAUCCAGGCAGGAUGAGCGCUAGAGGAGACAGACCAGCUCAGCUCCCGCGAGGGCGAGAUGGGCAGAGGAAAGAAGAGGUGGGACUGAUCAACUGGGGGGCGGGGGGAAAGAUGCUGGCUUUACUGAGCUGCGAAAAGGAGAUAUUGUAUAGUCAUUCUACGCCUUUUUCGAGGACGUGGCUGGAUCGCAGGGACUGCGGGAAACGAUGAGAUACAUCGUUAGAACGGAACGAGAAAAUCACGCGCACACCUGCAGGGAAUUUAAAAGCCAACAUCUUCGUCAGUUCUAAAAGGUGGAGGAACUGGAGCCGCUCGUCAUUCGGCGGUUUGUCAGAAUGCAGCGUUGACUCAUCGUGGCCUAAAGCUGAAGCGGGCUGAGUGCGUGCAUGUUUCGAUUCAAUUAUUUAAAAAAAACGCUUAUUAUACACUUGUUAAUAGACACAAGACUGGGACUUACGGUCGUUUUUUUAUUUUUUAAACACCUAUCGCCAUACUUCUGUUAAGGAUAGAAAAAAUGUUUAUUUUUUAUUAUACUGUUUGGAGCUUAAAAAGAUCUUAGCCGUUGGACUUCUAGCUGUUUAAGACAGUGUAAAGGGGGAUGUAUUUUUACGAAGGUAGGAAAAAUGUCUGCACGUGUAUGGAUAAAAACGAGCGGGUGUCGCGCGCCUGACUGCGGCCCCUUAGGAUGCACGUGCCCAAGACGUACGAGAUACUGCUCAAAAUUGAUUUAGGAGCGUCAGAACUCAUAGGCAACAGGUAUAAAACAACAACCUACAACAGAAAUGAACUCCAUUGUGUUGGUGAACAGUUGUAACAACCCUGCUGAAGAUGGGCAUUCAGGUGCUUUGAGGCAGAUGUGCAAACCUCAACAUGGAAGAUAAAAUCAUGACUCUGGUUUGAACUUGUCACUGUGUCCUUGCAUAGAAGCUUCACUAACUGCUAUGCCUAUGCACAAAUCACUCCUGCUUUGAACCUUACCCCUCAAAAGCUCAAAUAAGCUGUGCGUUGUGAAUACAUGAUUGGUUUGGUCCAGAAAGAGGACUGGCAGUUACUGUAAUAGAACACUCAUUAUGGUGCUUAGGCGAAUUCAAUGUUACGUGGCUGGCAUUACAUACACACCCACACUCACUCAUAGAAUUGGCAAAUAACCUAGCCUGUGUGUGUAGGAAAACUGGAGUACUUGGAGGACAUCCUACACAUGCAAAUAACACAUGGACCACAAUCAUGAAGCAGUAGCACUGCCUAUUUUGCUGUGUUGCUGUCUGGUGCUCACUGUAUUUUCUUCAUAGCUGUUGUAUAGAUUUAAAUUCGCUCAACAGAUUGGAUGACAUCAAGGCAAUAAUUCAAGUUUGAUUUGAUUUGCUGUGUAAGUGUUUAUUUGAAUGACCUUGUAAUGUCUGAUACGGAGCUGUAUGGGAUGUUGCUCAAAUGCUGCACAGAUAAAUACUUAAAAUGGUUCAUUUGGCUAAUCAUUCAGGGCUUUCUGAAAAAUGUUUUCAAUCUGUGACUCAUAAUAAGUUCAAAAAUAUAUGAGUGAUGUAAAAUUCAGGGAUAACAGAUUUGUAAGUUUUUUGUUUAUUAAAUAUUUUUGUAAUUUGUAAUAUUCAGAGAUAACAGGUGUAAUACAAUGUGAUUUAAAUUUAAUUGGUAGACAUCCAUACAUGCUUUUAAACACCAAACUGCAUUAUCAUGAUGUACUUGUAAUAGGAGCCCAAAAAGGCUUGUAGUGUCUCAGUAGUUUUCACAGACAGCAAGAGUCCAAUUCAAAUGAUGUAAAAGUGGUAUUGAUUGAAAUCCAGUUGUUAAUUGUUGGUUGUGGAGGGUCUGUGACUAAGUUCAGAUUCCUUAAAUAUGACCUUUUUGAAAGAAGUUCUAAAAGGGUUAUUAAAAUCAUUUGAGGUGUAAUUAUUGACUGCAAAGGCACAUGAUGGAGAGCAGGUGUGGUGCUUAUAGAGUGAGGAUAGUCCUGAACCGUAUUGUGCAGAUAAUGCAGUUGUUUUUAGUGCAAUGUACAUAUUUGUUCGCUCUAGGCUUGUAGAGCAACACUUGUGUAAGUUCUUUCGUCUGCAUUCAUCUUAAGUUAUUUACUUUUUAUGGUUAACCUCAAACAGCAGAAGAUGCAAGCUGGUGCAGCUUGCGGUUCACUAUCCUGGCAUGUCACUAAUUUGUACUGGGAAUCUGUUACCGUCAUCUGUCAGAUGACAAAAACAGGAAAUUAUCCAACAUAUAAAAUUUUGAAGUGACCUCUCAAGACUCGAGCAGAAUUCUUCUCCAUAUUACGGUAGAUGAGUUUGCAAAUUUGCCAGUGCCUUUUAAUGGGAGAUAUUAAAAAAAGAAAUAUUGUAAAGUGCGUCUCCAUGUUAGAGAUAUGAAUGAAAAUCAACUUUAUUAACAGUGCAAAGUUUCAGCAAGAUUAAUCUUCUCGGACCAGGGUUUCAUGCAGACAUAGUAAUAAUAGUAAGUGUUUUUCACAUAUGUUAAAGCACCCAAGAAGGCACAAAUAUUUUUGAAUAUAGUCAUGUUUUAUUACCUUUAAAGUUUGUUUUGAUAAUGUUUUGUAGAAUAUGAGUUAUAAGUGGGAUUAAAUCUAGAGUUUCUUUUUUUUUUUUUUUUUGUUGCUUAGCAGGACAGCAUUUGGAUUGUAGAUUAUAGUGCAUUAGACUGGUAUGGUCCUGUUUUAUGAUACAAGCCCAACCCAAAUUUUUUGUAAGCUUUCAUAUGGUGUAUAAUUUAAGACCUGUUUGGCAUGAAUUACAAAAGGGGAAAAAAUGGAUUAUGCAUCUAGCUAGCUCCUCGCUUCAAGGCUGCAUGACUGUAGAUUUGAUAGCCUAAGAGGCCUUGCAUUUGAAGCGUAAUAUUUAUGAUAUAUUAACCUGAUAAUUCAAUAUGUGAUGCUUUCGGUGGGUAAGAUAUAUACGAAACAGAGUGGUAAAGGCAUAUUAAGCGUAAAGGUUGGGACUGAAAAAAGAUAUAUGAUCCCUUUUUUAAAAAAAAAAAAA